CCCUCUCGGAUCGUUGUUUUCUGAGUUUUCCUCUCAGCCAAGAGUUCCCAUGUGACCCCGCUCUGGCCAAUGAGCUAUAAGUAAGUCUGUUUAGGGGCUUUUGAACAGGGUGAUGAUGUCAUUUUGGAGCUCACUGCGGUCACCUUGCAAACCACAAUGGCAAUUCCAGAGGAAUUCUGAAGACACCAGUCCAAAGCCCUGGCAUCAAUAAAUCCUAAACCCAUACCAGUAACUGUCUACUUCAAGUCUCCCUGUUAUGCAAGAACAAUAAAGCCAAGGGAUUGAGGUCGUUAUUACAUCAUCGCCGAGGUGGCUUCCAGCGUCGGAAUCCAGCAAGUGUCCCUCAAUGCCAUGGGCAAGCAGACCCUUGGGAAAUGUCUGCUCUGACCAUCAUCGAGGGUGAGCAAACUUGGGGUCAGGUCAGCAGGCAGAAGACCAGGAGGAACAAACAGAUGGCCUCCACCUAAACCUGCACCACUGAGGAGUUCUAGAUUGCACAAGGAUUUGAAAUGAAAAAUUUCUGGUGUCUUUUGAAGAAUGGGAAGAUCUGGCAACACGGGCCCACAUUUCUGUACAGCAACAGUUGUCAGGAGGUAAGGAGAGAGGAAUCUGAUCUGUACUUACAUAAGCCGUAUUCACUGAGGGAGAACCACAGCCAGACAGAGACUCCAACAGAACAUCUAGAGACACACACUGAAGAGUGAAUCCCCAGGCACAGGUCAGGAACAACCGUACCAC